UAGGGAAUCUUCGGCAAUGGGGGGAACCCUGACCGAGCAACGCCGCGUGAGUGAAGAAGGUUUUCGGAUCGUAAAGCUCUGUUGUUAAGGAAGAACGAGUGUGAGAAUGGAAAGUUCAUACUGUGACGGUACUUAACCAGAAAGGGACGGCUAACUACGUGCCAGCAGCCGCGGUAAUACGUAGGUCCCGAGCGUUGUCCGGAUUUAUUGGGCGUAAAGCGAGCGCAGGCGGUUAGAUAAGUCUGAAGUUAAAGGCAGUGGCUCAACCAUUGUAGGCUUUGGAAACUGUUUAACUUGGGUGCAGAAGGGGAGAGUGGAAUUCCAGGUGUAACGGUGAAAUGCGUAGAUAUAUGGAGGAACACCGGUGGCGAAAGCGGCUCUCUGGUCUGUAACUGACGCUGAGGGUCGAAAGCGUGGGGAGCGAACAGG
rnacentral:rRNA from 1 species